rnacentral:lncRNA from 1 species
GUCUAGGUCCUUGAAUCAAUAGCUGUUGGAGGUUGAGCUUCCCAUAAGAUUGAACAAAUUUUACUUUAGACACUAAGGAAGUUGUACUAUCAACUUUCAUUGCCUUCCCCACCAAGUUUUCUAACCCCAUUUGGUGUAUAAUCGAUUGUAGUAACCAAUAAGCAGUUAGGGAACCUAACCUAUAUAAUCUUACUAACAUUGGUUUUUCAUGAGUGGGGGAAAGGUCCAAUGGUCUAAUAGCC